ensembl:lncRNA
UAAAACAGUAUGGUGUGGUAUGAUUAUAGUAUAAAACAGUAUGGUGUGGUAUGAUUAUAAUAUAAAACAGUAUGGUGGUAUGAUUAUAGUAUAAAACAGUAUGGUGUGGUAUGAUUAUAGUAUAAAACAGUAUGGUGCGGUAUGAUUAUAGUAUAAAACAGUAUGGUGGUAUAUGAUUAUAGUAUAAAACAGUAUGGUGCGGUAUGAUUAUAGUAUAAAACAGUAUGGUGUGGUAUGAUUAUAGUAUAAAACAGUAUGGUGGUAUGAUUAUAGUAUAAAACAGUAUGGUGGUAUGAUUAUAGUAUAAAACAGUAUGGUGUGGUAUGAUUAUAGUAUAAAACAUAUGGUGUUAGUAUGAUUAUAGUAUAAAACAGUAUGGUGGUAUGAUUAUAGUAUAAAACAGUAUGGUGGUAUGAUUAUAGUAUAAAACAGUAUGGUGUGGUAUGAUUAUAGUAUAAAACAGUAUGGUGUGGUAUGAUUAUAGUAUAAA